CCUUGAGUCCAGCAACGUUGAAGGACGUUACUCUGGGUGAUUCUACUGGCAGAGAAAUGGAACUGACAGGGGAUAUAGGACCAACUGGUUGAGGUAGUUACUCUGGGUGACUCUACUGGCAGGGGAUAUAGGACCAACUGGUUGAGGUAGUUACUCUGGGUGACUCUACUGACAGGGGAUAUAGGACCAACUGGUUGAGGUAGUUACUCUGGGUGACUCUACUGACAGGGGAUAUAGGACCAACUGGUUGAGGUAGUUACUCUGGGUGACUCUACUGACAGGGGAUAUAGGACCAACUGGUUGAGGUAGUUACUCUGGGUGACUCUACUGACAGGGGAUAUAGGACCAACUGGUUGAGGUAGUUACUCUGGGUGACUCUACUGACAGGGGAUAUAGGACCAACUGGUUGAGGUAGUUACUCUGGGUGACUCUACUGACAGGGGAUAUAGGACCAACUGGUUGAGGUAGUUACUCUGGGUGACUCUACUGACAGGGGAUAUAGGACCAACUGGUUGAGGUAGUUACUCUGGGUGACUCUACUGACAGGGGAUAUA